AACCCUUGCCUUAGUUACCAGCACGUUAUGGUGGGCACUCUAAGGAGACUGCCGGUGCAAACCGGAGGAAGGUGGGGAUGACGUCAAGUCAUCAUGGCCCUUACGGCCUGGGCUACACACGUGCUACAAUGGUCGGUACAAAGGGUUGCCAAGCCGCAAGGUGGAGCUAAUCCCAUAAAACCGAUCGUAGUCCGGAUCGCAGUCUGCAACUCGACUGCGUGAAGUCGGAAUCGCUAGUAAUCGUGAAUCAGAAUGUCACGGUGAAUACGUUCCCGGGCCUU
rnacentral:rRNA from 1 species